CGCGCAGUGGAGCCACAGUCGCCACCCGCAUGCGGAUUGCGCCCCAACUCUCGGCUCCGACAGAUGACAACUGAGGCUCAGCAAGAUAAGCAGCCAAUCUGUCUUUGGAGCUGGAACUCUCCCCACACCACAACACUGGCAGUGAUGCUGGCGCCACUCACAUGCACCAGACCCAUUGAAUCAGCUCACGUUACUCUUCUGUUCAGAAUCCUGCACUGGCUCCCCAUGAUGCUGAAUACACAAGCUAAGGCCUUUACAUGGCCACAAGUUCCUGCAUGACCUGCACCCCCAUAUAUCAUUCUGGCAUCACCUCCCUUUCUUCUCUCUCAUAUUCAGCCACACUGGCCUCCUUGCUCUUCUCCAAAGACAUUAGCACACCCCCACCUCAGGCCCUUCGCAUCUGCUGUUCCCUCUGCCCGAGAUGCUCUUCCCACAGACACUCACUUGAUUACCCCCUCGCCUCCUUCAGAUCACAGCUCAAAUUUCACCUUCUCUGUGAAGGUUUCCCUGACCAUUCUCUUUAAAAUGGAACCCUCUCCCUCAUACUCUGAAUUCCUUUCCCUGCAUUAUUUUUUCCAUACAUAGCACUUGAUAUCUGACGUCCUGUAUAUUUUUAUUAUUC